rnacentral:rRNA from 1 species
UACGGGGGGGGGCAAGCGUUGUUCGGAAUUACUGGGCGUAAAGGGCGCGUAGGCGGCUUGGUCAGUCCCGUGUGAAAUCCCUCGGCUCAACUGAGGAACUGCACGGGAAACUGCCUGGCUUGAGUUCGGGAGAGGGAAGCGGAAUUCCGGGUGUAGCGGUGAAAUGCGUAGAUAUCCGGAGGAACACCGGUGGCGAAGGCGGCUUCCUGGACCGACACUGACGCUGAGGCGCGAAAGCUAGGGGGAGCAAACGGG